rnacentral:rRNA from 1 species
CCUACGGGUGGCAGCAGUGGGGAAUAUUGGGCAAUGGGCGGAAGCCUGAUGCAGCGACGCCGCGUGAUUGAAGAAGUAUUUCGGUAUGUAAAGCUCUAUCAGCAGGGAAGAAAAUGACGGUACCUAACUAGGAAGCCCCGGCUAACUACGUGCCAGCAGCCGCGGUAAUACGUAGGGGGCAAGCGUUAUCCGGAGUUACUGGGUGUAAAGGGAGCGUAGGCGGUGCGGCAAGUCUGAUGUGAAAGGCCGGGGCCCAACCCCGGGACUGCAUUGGAGACUGUUGAACUGGAGUGCAGGAGAGGUAAGCGGAAGUCCUGGUGUAGCGGUGAAAUGCGUAGAUAUUAGGAGGAACACCAGUGGCGAAGGCGGCUUACUGGACUGUAACUGACGUUGAGGAUCGAAAGCGUGGGGAGCAAACAGGAUUAGAUACCCCUGUAGUC